rnacentral:lncRNA from 1 species
GCUGAGAGUUUUCUGCAAUUGUAAGCUAUGUCAAUUUCGUCAUUUCGUAUUUAGAUUUAAGGGUGAAAUCGUCAGUUUUGCUGAAAAGUCUUUGUUUUUGUUUUUGUUUGGUGAAAACCGACUCUGUUUCGCUCCACCGCCUUUCGUCUUCAACAAAUUUCUUCUACUCGAUAUUGUCUGCCAAUUUCCGUGUUCCUGUGAGAGAGAACAUCGUAAUUGUGUUUCCUAAUCUAUUUAGGCCAGCUUCAGCCACGUUUGAUUGUGGCAAUUACAUCUGUGUCAACACCAGAGCUUCAAUCCCGCUCCUGAUGACAGCUUCUACACUUUCAGAACCUAUCCACAAUAUUACACAUAUCUCCCAUCUCUUUCCCGUCUAAGAAGAUUACAAACUUUCAUAUCUCAAAUAUGCAACAACUUUCCUUCAACAAGUAAGUUCAUCCCUGAUUAGAAUGAAAAAUAGAUCUAUUUCCUCUUGAAUUUUUUUUCAAUUUGAUUUGUUUUCGUUUAAUUUUACGUGUUUAUAUCGAUAAAAAAAAAAAAUUAAAAAAAUAAAUCAAUUGAAAGGCGUUUCUAGGUUUGCAUCGUUUUCUACUAAACAAAUUUAAUUACUGAGUAAGUUCAUCCCUGAUUAGAAUGAACAAUUAUUGUAUUAGGUGACAAAUUUUGGGUUGGCAAUAGACAAAGAUUCAUGGGGAUUGCAUGAGUCCUGGAUCAAUUAUGUAAGAAAAUAAAUUGCUUUCAAGCUAUAAACAGUUAACAGACAGUGACAUAUAUAUAAAACUCAUUCAUAAAACACAUUGAAAGAAAAAACAAAGCAUACAUGUAUGGAUCUAACAUUGUUUUAGACUUUACAUUCUUCUAAGUAUUUUAGGAAAAAACUUCUGUAAAUCGUUUCAAAUUGAAGUUGAGGAUGAAGAUUGAAGACCUCGAUGAAGAAGAAGCUCUAACAUAGAUCUCGGUUUGCUGGAAGUGCACUAACAGGUGAUAGACUAGUAAGUCUUUUUCUUUUGUGGUCAAUCAAUAUAUCUUUGGAUUGGAGGUGGACAUUUUUCUAUAGUAAUUUAACUCUGUUGAGAAACUUCAACGUUAAGUUUGUUUUCAUUAAUGUUUUUGCAACAAACAAUUAUCAGUGUUUAUCUUCUUCAUACAAGAUGUUAUUGAGAAUCCUUUAACUUAUUUUUACUUUUGAUCACCUUGGAGUUUUAACAUCAAACUCAAAAUGAGUGUUCUUAAUAGGAAAAAUCAAUUGACUUAUUUAUAAAAGGAAAUUGAAAUAGGUGUACCUCUAUUUGUACCAACCUGGUCAAAAAAAAAAAAAAAAAAAGGGAGAAAAAGGGUCCAUGAAUGCUUCUUAGUUUGUCUUGAAUGUUGAUGCAAGUGAUAAAUAUCAGUUGUUGAUGUAUUAUUUGAGUCCUUAUAAAAAUCAUACCGAUACAUACUUAUAUCGAGUACAAAGUAUCUAGGACGGAGACUAUUCCAUUAUUAAUUUCUUUUUAGCUUGAUAGAAUAUUUUUAAUAAUGUGUGAAACUGUGAAUCUAUGAAGUGAUACCAAUAGAAUUUUGAUUUAUUUUUUGUGUAUUUCCGACUUUUUUGAUAUUCCUAAAUAUACCUUUUAAGUGUUGUUUGUGGAAUUGUUGUGGAUGGAUGUUGUAUGUCGUUAACCAACUUUAGAGAAAGAAAGCCAUUAAGGUGAUUGCAAUACCUACAGUUGUGGUGACACCCAGUUGCAACCCAAGACAACUGUACCAUAGUGACAAGUUUGGAACAAUAAGAUAGUUCUUGGAUUAACAGUAUCGUGAUGGUCACCUCAAGUCUGGAGCAUAUUCUUCACAAAAAACUUUAUAGCCUCAUGUUCAAUAUCAGCAUUGUAACUACCAAUUUGGACCUUUUUAAAUAAAGAUUUAGACCAUAUUUGUUUUUAUUGAAUUUAGUAUGAAAUCUUGGUGAACACUAUUUUUUUACGUCUUAGAUAUUGUGUUAUUAUUUUUCCAUUUGCUAUCUCAUUUGUUGAUUUGCCUGUUUCAUUCCUUUUGCUUCACAGGUCUCUCAAGAACUUUUACAAAAUAGUACCUACCAAAAUCACAUAUCGACUUGAGGCUUGCUGCUCAUUUUAUUUCUUUGUCUUCACUUACUUCAAUAUGCACCAGCACCACUGCCUAACAUUUUCUAUCCAAUAAACUCAUUGUCUAACCCUGUAUCUUCUACUUCUAAUAAUGCAUUGUAAUACUAGCCCAGUCCGGGCGUAGCCCGGGCCUUACCUGCUAGUAUGAAAAUAAGCAAGAGAUCGUUAUAAAGCAGAAAACAGCGGAAAACAGCUAUUAUAUUCCGGGACAAAUACUAAAAAUUAUAAAAAUAAAACAGAAUAAUAUAUUCGAACUGUUGUCCAG